CGCUGAAGAGAGGAGCUUGCUCUUCUUGGAUGAGUUGCGAACGGGUGAGUAACGCGUAGGUAACCUGCCUUGUAGCGGGGGAUAACUAUUGGAAACGAUAGCUAAUACCGCAUAACAAUGGAUGACCCAUGUCAUUUAUUUGAAAGGGGCAAAUGCUCCACUACAAGAUGGACCUGCGUUGUAUUAGCUAGUAGGUGAGGUAACGGCUCACCUAGGCGACGAUACAUAGCCGACCUGAGAGGGUGAUCGGCCACACUGGGACUGAGACACGGCCCAGACUCCUACGGGAGGCAGCAGUAGGGAAUCUUCGGCAAUGGGGGCAACCCUGACCGAGCAACGCCGCGUGAGUGAAGAAGGUUUUCGGAUCGUAAAGCUCUGUUGUAAGUCAAGAACGAGUGUGAGAGUGGAAAGUUCACACUGUGACGGUAGCUUACCAGAAAGGGACGGCUAACUACGUGCCAGCAGCCGCGGUAAUACGUAGGUCCCGAGCGUUGUCCGGAUUUAUUGGGCGUAAAGCGAGCGCAGGCGGUUUGAUAAGUCUGAAGUUAAAGGCUGUGGCUCAACCAUAGUUCGCUUUGGAAACUGUCAAACUUGAGUGCAGAAGGGGAGAGUGGAAUUCCAUGUGUAGCGGUGAAAUGCGUAGAUAUAUGGAGGAACACCGGUGGCG
rnacentral:rRNA from 1 species